AAAUUGCUAUGAUGAUAUAUCUUCAGCUUUAACGCCAGUUCUGCUUCAGAAAAUUCGUGAUUGAUAGAGCUGCAAAAUGUAACUGAGCUUUAU